rnacentral:tRNA from 1 species
UCCCUGAUAGCUCAGUUGGUAAAGAAUCUGCCUGCAAUGCAGGAGACCCUGGUUUGAUUCCUGGAUUGGGAA